rnacentral:tRNA from 1 species
GCCCACGUAGCUCAGUCGGCAGAGCACAUUCUUGGUAAGAAUGAGGUCACCGGUUCAAAUCCGGUCGUGGGCUCCA